GUACUCUGGCGUAAAAAGCAUCUCGCGAAGUGCAUCACUGAAUUACAGGUGACCAAAAAGAUUUGAUUUGACUGAGAAAGGAAUACGGAAUGCCUCCUAGAACUCUAAAGUCAUGAAUACUACUGGUAUUGAACCCUUCCAAGAAUAAGAUUGAUGAAUUCAGGGCUCCAAUAACGGCGGCACCUGUUACAUAUUGUGUGGUCAAGCGCCUCCCAAGAAGCCAUUACAUUCGGACAACCCAAUCACUCCAACAGACCGCGUACAAUUUUCACAGCCUCCACCAGCUGGGAUCGAUCCUGGCGAUAUAAUUAACUAACGGCGGCUUUUCCCCAAGAGUUACUGCUCCAGGCAGUGACUCCCCCCACAUUUUUUUUUUAAGCCAAGCGAGCUACCAACCCCCUAUUUGGCCACAGUGCUCGGUGGGCAUCCGCUUCUAACAGCGCCCAUAAGUCCAUAAGGCUAUGAGGGCGAUCCCUAAUGAGUCUGGGGCGAUGCAGCUGGCGACUGACGGGCAUUCUCCUGGGGGUUUAACCAUAUAUAGGCUACAGGCUCUAAUAACAGCGGCAGCGGUUACCUGUUACUGAGCGUGACUAUUUUUGCUUUAUAGUCUAUUUAGUCAAGGGUUUCAUGACACAAGAGUCAUUCAAUCUUUGGAUUUUACUGUACAUAAUUCUCUAGAAUCACUAGAUGAUAUCCAACCAACAACUAGAGGAGUAUUGAAGAUUUGCAUAGUAGUAUGAAAAUGCAAUUAUGAAGUUGAAGCCCAC
rnacentral:sRNA from 1 species